rnacentral:rRNA from 1 species
CCAGCAGCCGCGGUAAUUCCAGCUCCAAUAGCGUAUAUUAAAGUUGUUGCAGUUAAAAAGCUCGUAGUUGGAUUUCUGGGCCGGGCGCGCUGUCCGCCGCAAGGCGAGCACGGCGAGCGCGGCUCAUCCUCCCGAAGCCGGCGUGUGCUCUUCACUGAGUGUGCGCGCGGACUCGGGACCUUUACUUUGAAAAAAUUAGAGUGUUCAAAGCAGGCCUUCGCUUGAAUACAUUAGCAUGGAAUAAUGGAAUAGGACUUUGGUUCUAUUUUGUUGGUUUCUAGGACUGAAGUAAUGAUUAAUAGGGAUAGUUGGGGGCAUUAGUAUUUAGUUGUCAGAGGUGAAAU